AUCUUUCUAGUAUUAGGUCAGUACAAAUGACUUCCAAUCAUUUAGUCUUGGUUAAACCCCAAGGAAAGAUA
rnacentral:tRNA from 1 species